AAAGCCUCAUUCCUUCAUCGUUUCCUUUCCUCUGUAUUUUGGAGUUCUCUCGUGCCCUAAUAUCAUCAGAGUGGUUGUCAUCUCCGUUUGAGGAAAGAUAAGAUAUGAAGCAGAGGCAUGGGUCUCAAUCUUCUUCGGUCUAAGGUGUGAUCUCCGUUUAUGAUUUACGUAUGGAUAUUCUAAAAUAUGCUUUUGAUUUGAUCUGUAGAAAAGCUUGUCCCUCCAAAGCUUUAUCCUUUCUCGGUUCCAGUUAUGAUUUUAUGACUUUUUACCAUUGUGAUCUGCUGGCAUCAUGCCUCUUAUUGUCCUGCGGAUUAUUACAACCUCAAAUCAUGGACGGGCAAGCAUGUAAUAACCUGCAGCAACGGCCGUUGCGAGCGAAAUAAGCAUCUGAUUGCUUCUUAACCAUAUUAAUCGCGGCUAUAAGAUGUGACUAGUACUCCAUAAUGGUUGAAUAUUAGAAGCGUGUUGACGGGUAUAACCCUUUUUUUGCGGUGGGCUUAUGAGAUUUGGUAUGGGGUUAGUAUUACAGAAGAGAUGAUCUUGCUUCGGAGGGUGAGUAGUGUAUUUAGAGUUGUGGGUGACAGUGAGUUACAUUUAGGGUAGAAACAAUAUGGUUGACGAGA